rnacentral:rRNA from 1 species
GGAAGUGGCGCACGGGUGAGUACACGUAGGUAAUCUGCCUUCAGGACUGACACAACUCGUCGAAAGACGGGCUAAUAUCAGAUAAUGCAGCGGCUCCGCAUGGAGACACGUUGUUAAAGUACAAGCGCCUGAAGAUGAGCCUGCGGUCCAUUAGCUAGUUGGUAGAGUAACAGCCUACCAAGGCAACGAUGGAUAGCUGGGUCUGAGAGGAUGAUCAGCCACACUGGAACUGAGACACGGUCCAGACUCCUACGGGAGGCAGCAGUAAGGAAUAUUGCUCAAUGGCCGAAAGGCUGAAGCAGCAACGCCGCGUGAAGGAUGAAUGGCCUUUGGCCUGUAAACUUCUGUAAAAGGGAAAACAGUCAGGUAUAUCCUGAUUUGAUUGUACCUUUGAAGUAAGCCCCGGCUAACUACGUG